rnacentral:rRNA from 1 species
UACAGAGGUCCCAAGCGUUGUUCGGAUUCAUUGGGCGUAAAGGGUGCGUAGCGGCGCCAUAAGUCGGGAUGUGAAAAUCUCGGGGCUCAACCCCGAAACUGCAUUCGAUACUGUGGUGCUAGAGGACUCUAGAGGAAACUGGAAUUCACGGUGUAGCAGUGAAAUGCGUAGAUAUCGUGAGGAAGACCAGUGGCGAAGGCGGGUUUCUGGAGAGUUCCUGACGCUGAGGCACGAAGGCCAAGGGGAGCAAACCGGGAUUAGAAA